rnacentral:lncRNA from 1 species
AAAUGCAUUGAAUUUGAGUUACUCUGACUGCGGAUUGUUUGGUUUUAAUGUGAUUGCAUCACCUUCUUCUAUCCAUAAGGUUUUAAAAUCAGGUGUUGCACAAGUAUCAAAUAUAGCAAAAGGAAACAUUUCAGUUGUAGAUCUUGAAAGAGCUAAAAACCAAGCAAAAGCUAGCAUAAUGAUGGUUGCAGAGAACAAAAAUGAUCUUUUAGAUGACAUUGUUACACAAGUCAUGUACAGUAAUUCAUACAUAUCACCAAAGGUUGCAUCAGCUAAAAUUGAUGCUGUAACCAUUGAUAACCUAAUUCAAGUUUCGAAAAAAGUAUUUAGUGGUAAACCUACUUUAGCUGUUACUGGCAAUACUUCGAAUCCGCCAUAUCUUGAUGAGUUGUUCAGUUAGAUGUAUAAUUUAUGAAAAAUUUGUAUAAUCAUUUUAAAUGGAAAAUAUCAUUUUGUUUUAGAA